CAUUAUCGAAAUCGAAAUCGAACCUCCAGGAAGGGGGGAGAGGGGUGUGCAAGGGCGGCCUUGGACUGUCGCCGGUCUCGUGCACGUCCCUCGUCGUCGCUCCUCCGACCCCUUCGGAGCUUUGACCUUCUCGACACCUUUGUGCACUCUCGGUAGGUCCCUCGGGAUCUACGUUUCCUUUCCGACUCGCAUGUCUACAGAACGUAUGCAUCGCGUCCCGGCCUCGACCCUCAGGGUCCCGCGUCGGCGACCUCAUGAUAUUACAACUUUCAGCAACGGAUCUCUUGGCUCUCGCAUCGAUGAAGGACGCAGCGAAUCGCGAUAAGUAAUGUGAAUUGCAGAUUUUCCGUGAAUCAUCGAAUCUUUGAACGCAUCUUGCGCUCCUUGGUAUUCCGAGGAGCAUGCCUGUUUGAGUGUCAUCGAAACCUCUAAUCGAGACUUUUCCGACCCCCUCGUCGAAGCUCGGUUUGGACCAUGGGAGUCUGCGGGCGAGCUCGGCCUCGUCCGCUCUCCUCAAAAGCAUUAGCUCGUGGGCGCGAGACUUGCAUGCCACGGCCUCUUCGACGUCGUAAUGAUCGUCGCGGGCUGGAAGUGCAUGGACUCGACCGACCCGUGCUUUCCCCCCCCAGUCUUGCGGGGGCCGCAACCCCCGAUCGAAGCUUUGACCUCAAAUCACGUGGGACUAACCCCCCGAAAUUUUGCAUAU
rnacentral:rRNA from 1 species